GCACGCACCGGGUACUGUGCCUCGGUAGUCUCACACAUUCUUUUGCUAGGAUGUAAGCGGGAAUGUCCCAAAUUGUUUGGGAUUGGAAAAGCAGCGGUUCAAGAACACGUAGUAUUAUGUGCCUCUGUAUGAAUCGCCACCUCAGCAAUUCUCAGUCUAUAUGAUGCUAUAACUCUGCAGAUUUGUCCAAUACUGUUUGCCAUCUUUUCAUUGAAUCCUGUAAGAUGCAAGAAACGGACGAAGUGUCCUCCUUGGCUUCGGCAUGGCUGCCUAGCGCCCAAAGAAAGCUCCUGGCUUCUGGGGUGCUUGCCACAGUCCUUGCUCUCUCCGAGCUGUACAAUGGAUCUGUAUCAAAAGUAUUACGAUAUGUCAAGAGGUACGCUGCCCCAGACGUCUGCUCAUCCAAGCCAAACACACCAGAUCAGCCUUGUACAUGGGACGGGCAACCAGUCGGUUGGCGCAUGUCAAUAAAAUCUCGAUACAUGCUCAUGGAAGUAUGCAUCUUCCUGCAGGGGUUGUGCCGCUGCUUUUGCUCAGUGGAUCGAAGACCAGGGCGGCUUCCCUCUGUUCACA
rnacentral:lncRNA from 1 species